CCCAGCUCGUCAUGCUAGAGCACUUUUUCAAUGUGCUCCCCAACGAGAAGGCGACAACGCAUUCGUAUGUUAAUCCAUAUCAACUUUCGAUGCCAUUGACUGUGUCUACCAUGGUGACCACAGGUAACGGAGAAUCAGGGUUCGAUUCCGUACAAGGACCCUGACAAACGGCUACCACAUACAAGGAAGGCAGCAGGCGCGCAAACGACCCACUCCUGACGCGGGAAGGUUGUGACG